rnacentral:rRNA from 18 species
CCUGACCCCAUGCCGAACUCAGAAGUGAAACGCCGUAGCGCCGAUGGUAGUGUGGGGUCUCCCCAUGUGAGAGUAGGGAACUGCCAGGCA